rnacentral:rRNA from 1 species
GAUCCUGGCUCAGGAUGAACGCUGGCGGCGUGCCUAACACAUGCAAGUCGAACGGAGUUAUUUUGGAAAUCUCUUCGGAGAUGGAAUCUUUAACUUAGUGGCGGACGGGUGAGUAACGCGUGAGCAAUCUGCCUUUAAGAGGGGGAUAACAGUCGGAAAUGGCUGCUAAUACCGCAUAAAGCAUCGAAACCGCAUGAUUUUGAUGCCAAAGGAGCAAUCCGCUUUUAG